AUGAACGCUGGCGGCGUGCCUAAUACCUGCCAGUCGAGCGAACGGACGAGAAGCUUGCUUCUCUGAUGUUCGCGGCGGACGGGUGAGUAACACGUGGAUAACCUACCUAUAAGACUGGGAUAACUUCGGGAAACCGGAGCUAAUACCGGAUGAUAUUUUGAACCGCAUGGUUCAAAAGUGAAAGACGGUCUUGCUGUCACUUAUAGAUGGAUCCGCGCUGCAUUAGCUAGUUGGUAAGGUAACGGCUUACCAAGGCAACGAUGCAUAGCCGACCUGAGAGGGUGAUCGGCCACACGGGAACUGAGACACGGACCAGACUCCUACGGGAGGCAGCAGUAGGGAAUCGUCCGCAAUGGGCGAAAGCCUGACGGAGCAACGCCGCGUGAGUGAUGAAGGUCUUCGGAUCGUAAAACUCUGUUAUUAGGGAAGAACAUAUGUGUAAGUAACUGUGCACAUCGUGACGGUACCUAAUCAGAAAGCCACGGCUAACUACGUG
rnacentral:rRNA from 1 species